rnacentral:rRNA from 1 species
AACCUGCUUCGGUGGGGGAUUAGUGGCGAACGGGUGAGUAACACGUGGGUAAUCUGCCCUGCACUUCGGGACAAGCCCUGGAAACGGGGUCUAAUACCGGAUAUGAUCACUGGCCGCAUGGUCUGGUGGUGGAAAGCUCCGGCGGUGCAGGAUGAACCCGCGGCCUAUCAGCUUGUUGGUGAGGUAGUGGCUCACCAAGGCGACGACGGGUAGCCGGCCUGAGAGGGCGACCGGCCACACUGGGACUGAGACACGGCCCAGACUCCUACGGGAGGCAGCAGUGGGGAAUAUUGCACAAUGGGCGAAAGCCUGAUGCAGCGACGCCGCGUGAGGGAUGACGGCCUUCGGG